rnacentral:piRNA from 1 species
AUCUUGAAGAUUGUGCCCACAGU